AUUGAACGCUAGCGGGAUGCCUUACACAUGCAAGUCGAACGGAGUGGCGAACGGGUGAGUAAUGUAUCGGAACGUGCCCAGUAGCGGGGGAUAACUACGCGAAAGCGUAGCUAAUACCGCAUACUAUUUGAGCGGCCGAUAUCGGAUUCGCUAGUUUGUUGGGUAACGGCUCACCAAGGCGACGAUCCGUAGCUGGUUUGAGAGGACGACCAGCCACAAUGGGACUGAGCCACGGCCACGACUCCUACGGGAGGCAGCAGUGGGGAAUUGUGGACAAUGGGGGAAACCCUGAUACAGCCAUCCCGCGUGUGAGAUGAAGGCCUUCGGGUUGUAAAGCACUUUUGGCAGGGAAGCGGUACCUGCAGAAGAAGCACCGGCUAACUACGUGCCAGCAGCCGCGGUAAUUC
rnacentral:rRNA from 1 species